UACGGAGGGUGCGAGCGUUGUCCGGAAUCACUGGGCGUAAAGGGCGCGUAGGCGGCUGGGGGAGUCGGCGGUGAAAGCCCGGAGCUCAACUCCGGGUCGGCCGUCGAGACUCCUCGGCUCGAGCUCACUAGAGGCAGAUGGAAUUCCGGGUGUAGCGGUGGAAUGCGUAGAGAUCCGGAAGAACACCGGUGGCGAAGGCGGUCUGCUGGGGUGAGGCUGACGCUGAGGCGCGACAGCGUGGGGAGCAAACAGG
rnacentral:rRNA from 1 species